UUUUUUUUUUUUUUUUUUUUUUGUUGUCAUUCCUGCCUAAAGAUGUUAUCGUUCUUUACUAAAGAAUUGUCAAAGUAGGGUAAACCGUGGGUGUCCUUUUGUCAGCAUUUCUGGAUUAACAACAAUAUAGGUGAGCAUGGACGGAUACACCCACAGACGCAUUUGUAGAAACGUGUAUAUCCAAAUAUGGGAGUGCAGGAGAUCCAUCUAUAUGUUUCUUUUGUAACUUUGCUUUUAACUUUUGACUUGGCUACAAAAGUACAAAAUGGUAAAGCAUUAGGUACUUUUUUUUUUUUUUUUUUUAAUUUUGGAAACGUAGUCCUAAUGUUAUUAGUAUAAAAUAGUGGCAACUAGCGAGGUGUUUAUAGCUAGGAAAAAUUGAACUAAAAGAAAAAUGAACGACUUGGGGUGAAAACGAGUCUAUGAACAAAGAUGAGAAGAUCCAACUACCUAUAUUUCUUGUAGUUUUUUCUUUCAUGGCCAUAUUAUUUUAAGUUCCCUCGACUAUCUUAAAACGUAGCAAUUACAAAUUUUCAAAGCUAUUCAGAAACUUGUACUGAAUAGAAACUGUUCAUAAUUGUUCUUUGCUGCACCAACUUGCUCCAUCGAGCAAUUGAGUUUUAUUGGGGACUAGUAACAGUACAACAGUGUAAUGGUCAAUACCCAAAUGAAAGUAAAACAAUAAUACCAAAACUGAUCCACAUAGCUGAAAAGCUAGGCAUAGAUAAAGUUAGUGAAAAAACAUGGAGGCAAAAAACUUCCUUUAUACCUUUAAGAAUAGAAUUCUGCCAAUCGAUCCGACCUCAAGAUACAAGACAGACUUACCAGCAGCUAACAGAUAAUCCCUUGUGUAUAAAGCCAAAAUGAUUAUUGAUUUGUGGGUACUUAUCAGAUGGGGACUUCAAACGCGACAUCUGUUGAUUAUCUUUGAGGUGUAAAAAAAAAAAAUAAGAAUCCUCUUUUGUAAUUUUACUGUCCUAUCCCUUUCCUUUAAUCCAGAAUGAGGUAUGUCAUCUUGUUUACAAUCUUUAGUAGUUCUCCAAAAUAGCUGAUUUGUGGAAUCAAUCUCCAUUGUGUGUGUGUGCGUGUGUUUUUUUUUUUAAGUUAGAUAACAAAAAAUGAAAAAAAAAUUGGUUUAAAUAAGUAAAGUUGAAUUAAACAUUCAGCUUCAUAAAAAGUUAACUGCCAAUUUUCUCUCCUUAACUUUUUUACUCCUUUAUAUACAUGAAAAAUUGAUCAAUCUUCUACUAAUGUUUAUCCAGAGCCGGCCUGAACUAAAACUUUCCAUAUGCUUUCUGCAGACUGCCUUCUAAUUUUUUUUUUUUAAAAAAAAGACCCUCCUAACACGGUUAAUGGUUUCCCCCCACACCCCCCCCCUCCUCCUCGCUAGUUAUAUUAGAAGCAGGAUUUCCUUUUUCUAAAACUGCACAAGCUAAGUUUUGCUACUGUUCUAGAAGACUAGGAACUUAUGCGUGUGUCUUAUUCGUCCCAUCCGUUUGCUCUUUCUUGUUAAUUCUAGAAGACAUUGACGUGAAACAAAAGUAGCACUUAGUAUAGUAAGUAAUCACGCACUUCACUCUUAUAUUAGGUUUCACACUAUAAAUACAAACAUUGACAUUUAUUGACCCCCAAAUAAAUGCAAAUACAGUUAUUUACACAAACCCUUUUUUUUGCAUGCAUAUCCACCAACUUUUCCCCUAGAUUCUUUUCUGACAGGACAUACAAUAAAUAUAUCUAACUGAAACACAUUUUUUCUUUCUUUAUUAAAAUGUUCUUGAUAUCAUCUUGCUCUAGAAGCAUUUGAUCCAGCCAUUGUCCUGACCUCUUGUUCUUUCCCUUCUUUUCCCCCAGUUGACUAAUACGCGGCUUAAAUACCUACCCGUCGUCUAGACAUGCAUAUUUAUUAAAUCCUCCCCAACAAGAAAAUCAUCAUUUGCGUCCACCAAGCAUUUUAUCCUUCUCCUUUCUUAUUACACUACUCUCCAAUUCUCAACCAAAAUGGAUGAUGAUACCAAGAACAAAACUCCUCAUCUCCAAGAUGAUCACCAUCAGCUAGCUGCGGCAGAAACAGAAGAAGCAGAUGAAGCCCUUUCCCUUAGCGGGCUUAUCUUAAACUCGGAUGAAAUCGAGGUCCAAGAUCGAAGAAGAUCAUCCUUUUCUGAUCCAUCAGAGCUUUUCGAGUUCUUGAGCGACAAAAACUCCCAGAUGUCGCAUGCAGAAGAUAUCAUUUUCUGCGGUAAGCUUAUGCCAUACCAAGAAAACCCCUCUCGUCUGCCCAAUGCUCACAAUUUCCACAAGCAUCAUCAACUCACCAGACAUGAGAAACAACAAAGCUUCCAUCGUAGAAGAUCCGAGUCGUUAAGUGACCUAAAAACCAGCCUGUCCAACAGUGCUAGAAGAAACCAGCAUCAGUUCAUGAGGGCUAGCCGGUCUUUAGACUGCCGAAAGUUGUAUGGAAACAAGUACAACUCCCCCUCGGCAGCGGGCGGUUUCGCCAGGGCUGAAAAAGUAGAGAUUGAGCGGAGCUCGUCGACGAGAAGUUCGAACAAGGGUUUUAAUGCCACUGGGAUGAAAGAAAAGACUGCAAGACCAAGGUGGUACAUGAUGUUUGGGCCUGUGAGGUUUCCACCGGAGAUGGCUUAUCAAGAUAUAAAGAGCCGGCAAGUGCGGCAGAGUCCCGGAAGUUUGUUUACGUCAUUGGAGUCCCGCGAGAAGGCCAUUGUGAACCGGCCGCAAGAUCGGAGAUGGUCGGGCUCUUGGGAUUUGCUUAGGGUAUUAAGCUGCAAGGGCCAUGCAAGUGUAGCUGUAACGGCGUCGUUUGGCUGCCUGCAGGCGCAGCACAGUAUUUGAAUAGUUGACAUUGCCUCUGUCAUGUGCGUACCUCACGUGACUACUAAUACUUUGACAUAAUUGUCCAUGGGGGACGUGGAUGGAACUGGCUGAUUGGGCUGUGAAGAGGAAGGGCAAAAUGGGGUGUCUAGAAAGAGACAUCACGUAGAAGAGAAGAUAGUGUACUGUGAGACCACAUGGUUAAUGAUGAUCAUGACGCCUCAGAUGUAAUGAAGAAGGGUAGAAUAUUUUGUCCUCCAAUUUGUGUAGGGCCAUUUGAAAAAAUUAAUGGGGAUCACGGGGUCCCAAUGACGACAUGAAUUUGGUAUUUAUUUUGGGGAGUACAAUUUUUAAAUUUCUAACUUAUUAGGGGAAUUUUUCCAGCCUUGGCAGUUUGUUAUUUGGAAUGUUUGUGUGUUCUUGAAGUCGGCCAUUUUUUUUUUUAAAAAAAAAUCUAUUGUGUAUGGAUGUAAUUUGUCCUUCAAGUACAGUACUACAAAAAUUAUAGAGAUAAACGUUCUCAUCUCAAUUCCAACUUGAGAUAGGAAAACAAGUAGCAGCAGUAGAAUAUUUAAAUAACGAGGUUGCUGUAUAUUGCCAUGCGCUAUAUGGUGAUUGUUGAGCCUUUACGCAUUCUUGCGAUAAAAUUAUACCUCUGAUUUGAGCACUAAUGUUUCAGUGAGGUCCAGAAAGGCAAAGGUAAUAUUUGUCGAAAACCAUGAUUUAGAAAAGGAGCUUAUAGUACAUCAUAUAAACCGACAACUACAGAAAAAACUACAAAGAUGUCCCCGAAGACGGAUAUUCACAAGGACAUAAGUGAAAAUUUCUAGUGUUUGAAGGGGAUAAAAGGUACUUUCAAAAUCUUGGGACGCAGAAACUAAUUCCUACAAGAACAUAUGAAUAAUAUUUACAGUUAAUUUCUUAAGAAAUAUAGAACUGCUGCUGAUGAUGAUGCAAGUAAAAUAAAAAGAUAGUUGAAAAACGUGCUGAUGAUGCAAGUAAAUAAAACUCGGUAAAUAAUUCAUUAAUUGUUACUUUGACAGUGGCCUUCAUAUUAUUGUCUUCCUUGAUCAAGUAAUAUGUGAUCCUCGAUCGUUUAUCUCAUGCAAAAUGUCUAGGGCUGGUGGGGUGAGUGGUGAUGGGUAUACGGGUGAUGCCUGUGAACACUUUAACAGAAAAAUCUCUGUUCAGCACGAAAAUGAACCCAUUCAUUUCAUUGUCAAUGGAUCUGCAUUAGCAGCCUACCCCUUCAUAAUUCACCAUUGACGUCAGUGCUGUUAUCCUAUUAUCUUCGUCAUGAAGAUAGACAGAAUAAAGGUCGAAAUCCCUAAAAGUUAAUUAAAUAGCACUAGAUUUAACUUACAUAAUAAACUGUUGUUUUCAUUCUAAGUAUUUUUCACGUAAUUUUGAAAUGUCACAUGUUUCACCAUUUUCAGGAAUUAUGUAUAAGAAACGUAUGGUGAUCAUAUAGAUCGUAGGACCAAAUAUGAGUACUACAAACAACGUGCAAGGAACAUAUUUUAGACCCCCGUCCUACGUUAAUUGGCCAAGUUAAUUAGAUCCAUUUGAGUAACAAUACUCUCUGGCAAUAUUGUUAGACUUCAUAUUCUGAAGUUUUAUUCAUGAAAAUUUGGAUCGAAGUUUAUUUCCAAGAUAUUAUUUGCUUCCAUUUAGAAACAUGUUUUUCAAUCAAUCAAUUUAUUUUUUCAACUACUUUUUUAUCUUGUACACAUCACAUCAUAAAAAAUAUUACAGUAAUUAUUUUACAUAUAUAAUCUCAUAUCCAAACAAAUGUUGUCAUAGGGUUUUAAUAUCUCCAAUUUUAGUGACUUAACUUUUGUAUUUGGGUGAAAAGUCUGGAGUUGAGUAGCUGGGACAUGUGCAUAAUCGCGUGCACUAGAAGUUUUUGUACCACAUUAAACAGUUUGGAUGCCUUCUUCAGUUUGAAAUUCUACAGCAAACCAAUUUGAUAGUGAUUGGAUAGCCAAUCAACCAACGAGACUUCUUAUGAUGUAAUGUAUGCGAGAUAAAACGGUAGUUGAAAAAUAUAUUAAGUGAAUACGAGGUCUCCACAAUAUCCAGAAAAAGUUUUCCACAAAACUAACAAUCAAAACAAGCAAAGUGGGAAAAAACAAAAAAAUUUUGUUACUAAAAGUUUAUAAAAACCAAUUCAAGAGCAUUAUGUAGAAAGCUAACAGUAAGGUGCGUGGCGUACUUUUCUCUUGCGGUUGAAACAUCCAUGAUUUCCUUUUUGCUGGCUUAAUUUGCUUCAAUGAGUAACCGAGCAUUAUGUUUUGCUUCACAUUGAAGCUUGUUCUCCGUUGAUAUUUCUCUCUUCAUCUCUUUUAUUGCAUUACAGCUCAACUACCCUAGUAAUUAAAGUGUCGUGCAUCUUUAUAAUGACGGGACAAAGAAAAACAUCGGAAGUGAUAAACUAAAUAGUACGCUCUAUGUCAAUUGUCAUGAAAAAAAAAAAAAUCAAGACAUUCGUUACUACACUUCACUUAUCUGCAUUGUUUGGAUUGUAGUUUUCUAUCAAAAUUCUUUUUCAUAAAUAUAUUUUUCAAUCAUCUUUUUAUUCCACGCUCUAUGUAGUAUAUGUAUGUAUGCUUUUGACAAGAUUUAUAUAUUGGAACUUCAUUUAAAUAUGCACAAGAUUUUAACACUCUCUUAAUUUUUGUUUGAAAACUAAAAUUUUUUUAAUAAACAUGUUUACUUUUUUAUUAUACAAUCAAUCUUUUUAGCUUUCAAACUGACAAUAUUUGAAUAGUUAGAAAACUAUUUUGUUCUAAAACAUAAAUAAAAUAGUGAUAAAUAAUGCUAUAUUUUUAAAACCAGUGACAUAUUUUUGUUUUAUAUUUGACUAUAUUAUUUAUUUAUGUAAAAGUAAGAUAAAAUUAAAUUAAAUCUUCGAUUAAUACCUAUAUAAUCAUUAUAUAUCUUUCUAAGUGCAAUAAUUACAGUCUAAAAGCAUUUUAUUAGAUAUUUUAUGUAUAUUAAAAUUACUAUCUUAUAUUUAUAAAUAUUAAAUUAAUACUUACCGAUUCAUUCACUAAUUGAACCAGUGACCAAUUGACUCAAUUCCUUCGUGGGAGCCCUUGUCCCACCAAAUUUAAUAACUAUGGUUUUAGCAACCCUAGCCAGCCCACAUUCCUUUUUUUUUUUCGGGCUAGACUAAUUCCACUCCGGCCUGGAAAAGGAGGUCCCACUCCACUCCAAGCACAGUAACAAGGGGGCUCGAAUCUUGAUUGUCCAGAUAAAUCUAUCAUAUUCUAAAGAGAGAAAGCUGACCGCUCGAGCUGAUCCUCGUGUACGUUAAUUUUGUAGUAUGACAUAUGGAAUGCGCAGAAGACUCAGAACGGAUAGGAUGUCACGCGAUUUGCAUGAAAUGAGGGUCUGCUAACGUUAAAUGUGAACAGAUAGCGUCCAUUUGACGGACUUGUCAGCUGGGGACAAGUCAAGGAGGUCAGCUUAAUUUGGCACCGGUACUUUUGGUUUAAUUCUAGUGUGGACAGAUGCAAUACUACAAAAAAUGAGGUCAUUUUUUCAUUUUGACCUAGCUCCAAUCCAUCAGUCUUAAGAGCAACAAUGGCGUAUGUUAAAAGAGAAUUUAAGAAUUCACCUAGUACUUAAAUGGAAAAAUUCAUAUCAUUAGAUUUCAAAGUGAAUAAAUUUACUCAUUAAGCUGUUAUAACAUAAUUUUUGUGUUUUUUUUUUCUAACAACUGAAUGAGGUUCAACUCUGAUCUGUGCAUCUAAGAAAACUCUAAGAAUUAACUCAUAAGGAUACUUGCCAGUGUUGGGUGCGUUGGGUUAAUUUCAUUUUGUACCCUUGAACAAUAUCCGAAUUUUCACUUUGAUUUCUAAAUUUCAAAAUGGGACGCAUUAGUUUAAUCCCUAUAUUAUAAAAUUUGUCAUAUUUAAUCCGUAAAGUAUAGUACUUUUGCCCAAUUUAGUCCCCAAAGUAUACCCGCUAAGGUAUAAAAUCUGUCCCACUUCCUUGAGUAAGACAAAUUUUAUAGUGUAAGAACUAAAGUGUCUUAUUUUAAAGUUUAGGAAUUAAAAUGAAAAUUUGGAAACAGUUGAAGGGGUGCAAAAUGGAAUUAACCCGGGUACGCUUGAUUGAUUAGUUAUCCAUCCUUAAGAAUGGAGGGGCUUUCAUGCCUGCAUCAUUCACGUCAAACUUCAUGAGAGCCGGACUGGGUUUGUAUUAUUUGGGGCUUCCAAUAGUUAUGACCAAUAACAAAAUUACCCAAUUAGAGACUCCAUCUUCUUCCUAUAUUGCCUAAAAAAUGAAAGGAAACAAGAGUACAGUGGUAAAAGAGCAUGAAACUCAACAACUAGAAGCACAAGAUAACCAUCUAGAAUGCCAGGCAUCCAAUUUAGAAAGGGAGCAUGCAGCAAGUUAAAGGUAAAACAAGUAAAAGCAUGUGGUAUUUCAAAAUAAUGCAGCAUAUACCAUCCACAGAAUUUGUUUACUAGAGAUGAGCUAAAAUAUCUACCAUGAAAAUACACCAAGAUUAAGGAGCUAAUUCAAUACAAUGCAAGAAAAGUAGCAAUGUGUCCAUAUAAAACACUAAUGGAGACAAUAACACCUCUUUUACAGGCAAAAAGUGGCCAAGAGUCCAAGAUUCGACAUAAACUUUAACAGGUUCCUUUACUCAAAGUCUCCUACACAGAAACUGUGUUCUCAUGUUGACCAGUUAUAUCAUACAGUGCUAAAUAUAAAUCAUUGGUGCAGAAAAGUCGGUUUUUGGGCUCAUACUCCCAUUGAGAGCCAUCACGGGACAUGACUCCUAUACCAGUAUGUGAUAUACAUAAAUGUAAGUACCAUUCAAUGCUGAGACAACUAAUACAAAAUUUAGACUAACUUGGAUGCACCACUUGACCAGUAUAUAUCUCCACAAACAAUAAAAGAAUUUAAGUAGCUGCAGAUAUCCUAAGAAAAACCCAGAAACUUGGAUUGCCAUUGGAAAAAAAGAAGUCAACAACUUCAAGAUAAAUGGCAUAUCUCUGAUUACAUAAAGAAGCAAGAAUCAGGGAAAAUCAAGUCAAAGGGUGGUUCCUUGGUUUCUCAUCAUCAUCUUCUUCUUCCUCCUUUUUUCACUUCUCAGAAGAAAAUUUUGGACACUCAAAUGACAGUAGAAACUACUACGGGAAGCAUACACAUCUUAUCAAAUGGACCGAGCUAUGGCUCUAACAUUUCAAACAUUAAAGAUGAAAAAUUGAAAUCCUGAAAAAUUAGAUCAGCAGCAAAAUAAAUCUUUCUUUAGGGUGAUUAAAAUUAAAAUCUUUCCUAAGAUGAGGGAGUACAAAGUAAUCAACUGUUUAAGAAUAAGUAGCAAAUAGAUCUCUAGAUUUUCUCCCUACUUUGAGAAGAGUUUAAUUAGCACAUUCAUUUGUAAGCUUGAAACCAUCUUAAGAGUUAUUCUAUUGGCAUUAUGUCACCUCAUAAUCUUCAAGUAUUCAUUUCAUUGACUCACAUGGAGCAUGUACAACAUAAAAGCAACUGCCGCAUAUUUUCCAAAAAUGCAUCGGAUAUAAAAGCAUAGCAGCAAUGCAAGAACAAACAUGUGAUGGCUAAUCGAGGUCCAAUUCAACAAGAAACUUAUAUUGAUAGCGAUUUUCUAUCUACGUUCAGUAAUUUAAUUUUUCCGUCAUGUUCCUUGUACAUAUUUACUAUUUGCAGGUGUUAAGAUCCAGAUAGCAUGUAUUUUAAUUGGAAAAGCACGUGAAACAGUAUGUAUACGCUCAAUUACACAAAGCAAGUGCCUUAACAAUGUUUGAACAGAAUAUUUCCUGUCAGAAUGGUGAAUCAAGGUUACAGGCAACUGAUCAGGAAAUGCUAUAGGGUAAAACAUCAUAAACUACAUAUCUCAGCAAACAUACAGGAAUGUAAAAGAAUUAAUUUUCUGCCGACCAGAAAAAUAAAAACCUGAAAAAGAAAAACAACCAGUUUCAUGCUUAAUUGCACAUGUAAACCCCACUUGCAAACCUGUCAUCCACCUCAUAAAAAUCUGUCUUACCCUCAGAAGCAGGACGCAGAGAAAUUCCAGACAAAGAUUUACUUCCUUGUCCUGAAAAUUUAACAUGGCAAACCACUUCAAAAUCUAUAUCAUCAUCUUCAUCACCAAUAUCCACAGGCAUCCUCACUCUUAAUCUACCAGGAUUGCCCUUAAGGGGAAUCUCAGGAACAUGCCAUUUGAUUUCCUUCUCAGACCUAUUCAAGACUGCUUUUGGUGAAACCUUCAACAGUGUUGGGUCUACAGGCAGUUUCAGGACAAAUGUCACAUCGUUCAGCGGUGCUGGUAAAUCUGGAUUUGACACAUAUUGUAUCAUUACAGAAAGUAAAGUCCCACUGAGACGUUUGACAAGUCUAACCCUCAAAGGCAAUGGAGUCAAACGUGGUAACAAACUAUACUUGACAAUUGGAAUAGGUUCUCCUGAUGGAGCAGUCCUAACAUGGAACAAACCAUUUCCAAGGCUACUUACACGUGAGCUUUGCAGUACAAACCUCUUAACACUGCCUGUAUUCUCAACUUUAAAUGAAAACUCAGUCUCUCUAUCAUCAGAAGGCUUUGGAGGUAAUGUCCUCAAGUAAACAACACCCGUCAAUCCAACUCUAGCAAGCAAUGAUUCCCUGAACUCUGCACUAAUCUCUUCUGCAAUGUACAUUUCCGGACCCUUCAUUUCAGUUUUCUUUACCAACACAUCCUCGAGAUUCUUACCAGCACCGUCAGCAGCAGCUGCAGCAGUCUUGACUGGCGGAUCACUAGUUUCUAACAAUUCAAGCCCACCAAGCCCCUCAUGUUUCUUGACCUUCUUUGACUCCACAUAAUCAGAAGCAUCCAAUCCCCCACCCCAAGCAUCACUAAACCCUUCGAAGUCUUCGCGUAACGUUGACCCGUCAUUGCUAAACUCAAUUCCGCCAUAGUUCCCUUCAAAGCCUUCAACACCUAUAUGCGUGGACUCAGUAGCCGCAGCAGGUGGCAGUGUAGUAACCUCAAGCCCCGCCAAUGCCUUAGUCAAAUCUGAACUCUGAUCCUUGUCCUUCUUAAACCCUUCCACAAGAGACGCAGGCUGGUUAAUCUUCUCACUGGCUGCAAAAGGAUCCUUCUCUUCCUCCUCCUCCUCUACCUCACCUUCUUCCUUCUCAUCACCCUGACCACCACUGAACGCCAUCGUGGCAGCCACUUCAUCCCCAGCCUCCAAAGUCUCCUGAGGCAAUUCAAACACAGCCUUGGAGAAUGCUUCCAAGCCACCCUCAUGUUCCACAGAAUGCACCUCUAAAUUAACCCAACUAUCCGCCCCACGGAUUUUAUUCUCCGUAUUGAUAGCAGAAUGCACCAUUUUAGCAAUGCUAUCACCGUGCAUGGUGGCAAGCAUUGCCGCAAGCCUAAUGCUACUCACACCCCUCAAAACUAUAUCCAAAGCCAUAUAAAUUUCAGCAUAUUUCUUACUUAACUUCUCAGGGGUAACAUCUACACCCCGGCAAGCCGUGACAACAACACUAACAGCCUGAUUAACAAUACUAAUGCAUUCAAAAACAUUAUUAUUGGUCUCAUCAGCAGUAGUAAUUCCCAAAACAUAAAUUGAAUUAACUAAACGGUAAACGACCCGAUACCGGCUUUCGACGCCCACAAUCACUUGACCGCUCGAGGCGGCAAGUGGGUCGUCACCGAGGGAUGAAGGGUCGGCGGAGGAGUUGUCAGAAUUGGAGGCGACGGCAGCGGAUUGUUGUUUAGAGGAAAAUGCUAAGCGGGUUUUGCGGAAUGCUGAAAGGGCCAUCAGGGCCCGAGAUGGGGGAAACCAUUCACGGGUUUGGAGCAAAACGUCGGGCCCAUUUGUGGGUUGAAGGGAUAGUGCUAAACAGGACAUCGGGGUUUAAUCUGGAUUGGAUCAGAUCUUACGAGGUUUUUCCUUUGUAUAAUUCUUUUUGAGUUUGGAAAUGAAAUCAAAGGUAAUGGGGAUUGAAUACUUACUUGAAUGAGAAUUUGAGCUGGGUAUCGAUGAUUUUGGAGCUUCCUGUGAUGAUUGUUUGUUUAUUACAGAGAUCGGAGCUCUGGUGCGUAUGAGAGAGAGAGAGAGAGAGAGGUGAAAGAGGAAAGGCAGAAGGAAUGGACCCGGGUAGACGAACCUCAAAGAAGGUUUGGGCUGGGCUGAAAGUUGGAUCUUUGGGUGGGUUGGGGUAAAUUUAGGUUAUACAAUCAUUGGCUGAUUUUCUCCCCUUUUUUUUUUUGUGAUAUAAUUGAAUCAAUUCUUUUCACCUUAUUAUUCAAUCCAACCCUUCUUCUUAUUUAAUCCAACCCUUCUUCGAUUUUCUUCCUUUUAUAAUGUCGUUUUUCUUUAAAAGUUGAUAAUUUGGUUAAUUUAUUUUACUCGUCUUCCUUUUGUUCAAAUGAACCGCAAAGAGACUUUUUUUUGGUUGAAAAAAAAAAGAAAUUACAAGAACGUGUUUUUUGGUACAAAAAGUAUUGGUUGAAAAAAUUUUGAACGAUUUUGGCUCUAGUCAUAAGUAGAUUCUAGUUAGUGACCAUUGAAGUGUGCUUAAUCUACUCUCUCUUUCUUUUUUUACUCGUCUCGGGCAUGCGAGUUUUUGUGAAAAAAUAGUCCGAUCUUACCAACUAUAAAGCAUGUUAAAGGUACAAAAUGUCUCUAUGCACUUUGAAUUCAGUCCUUUUUGUGCAUUUUCAAUUAUGGAACUUAGAUCAUGGGUUUGGGCCAAGUUAGUGAAACCUUGAACUACUUUGCCUUAAUUGGCCUUCAGGGUCAGUGGAUCUAUUUCCGGCGCAACAGUACAUUUGAAAGAGACUGGUGUACUCUCUGUACAAAUAAUUGUACAUCUCAAGAAACUUUUCCCGAGCUGGAAAGCCAGUACUAAAUGAUUUACGAACCCUUUGGCGCCUUGCCUAUUCAAAAUUCCAAAUGCGGUACCACCAAUGAACCCAGCAGCCCUCCUGCAACACCCUCUUCCCACCCGCACCACGAAAUGCACCACCGGUUGCCCAAUCCUCGACAGCUUCUUACACGGCGGCAUCCCUUGCAACUCAAUUACAGAGAUAGUCGCCGAGAGCGGCUGCGGCAAAACCCAAAUCUCCCUCCAACUCCUCCUCUCUGCUCAACUUCCGACCUCCCUCGGUGGUCUCUCCGCCUCCUCGCUUUACCUCCACUCCGAGUUCCCCUUUCCCUUCCGCCGCCUCCACCAGCUUGCCCUCUCAAACCCCACUCUCCAAAAUCCGUUAGACAAUAUACUAAUCCAUCCUUUACAUUCUGCGGACCACCUGCUCGACUUAUUGUCCCGCCUGGAUCCCCUCCUUGUACACCCACCACCGCAGACCCGUCUCCCUAUUAAACUCAUUGUUAUUGAUUCCAUUGCUGCUUUGUUUCGUUCUGAAUUUGAUAAUAACCCGAGUGAUUUGAAGAGGAGGUCGGGUUUAUUCUUUAAGAUUUCGAGCAAGCUCAAGGCACAGGCAAUGCGGUUUGGACUGGCUGCGGUGGUUACUAAUCAGGUUACGGAUAGUGUCGAUUCUUCGGAUGGAUUGAGGAUUGGGAACUCUUGGUUUCUUUAUUCUUCUGGGAGGAGGGUCUGUGCUGCACUUGGGUUAUCUUGGGCUAAUUGUGUGAAUACAAGGCUCUUCUUAUCGCGAGAUGAGGAAAAUGUUAAAGACGAUGAUGGUGACAUUGUCAAUACAAGAACGAGGACAAGGAGAUUCAUCAGCGUUGUAUUUGCGCCGCAUUUGCCUCAUUCAUCAUGUGAGUUUUUUAUUGCAAAAGAAGGGGUUUUGGGGUUUGAUAGUUGCAAUGACUUCCAUUUAGAAAAUAGAGAGCUCUAAUGAUGCAAAAGGUGAUGAUAAAAGAGGCAAAUCUGGGUUUUCUUCCCUUGUCUUUUUUACUUUAAUUUUUCUCUGUUUUGUAAUUAAUGCGAUCGGGCUGAAGAAAAAUGUAAGAGAAGUUUUGCAAUAGACUGGGGAAAAUUUCCCACUGUUGUGGGUUUUGUACAGCAUGUAAAAUUUCAUUUAAUUUGUGAGACAUCAUUCCUCUUUGCUCGAGGUAUUCUCUGAAUCUGUGAAUUUCUGUAAUGCAUUGACAAAUAACAUGGAAUUUUUUUUUUAAGACCCCGAAAAUGGUAGUUUUCCUAACGAUAAUCAAUAAAUAUUCACAGAGAACACUGAAGUGAGAGGCACUUGAUUACAUUCAAUUUACCAACUGAAGAACUGCAUUCGAUCUGCUGAACCAGUAUGUUGCAUACAAUGUGAAAACCUCUAUUAUAAGGACUAAAACAACCACAUGACUUAAAUUCUAUCGAUAUUACGCCUCAUAUUUGAAGCUCAGACUGAAUGGCUGUACUUUGUCCAUGCCCCAUACUCGUUCAACAUUUUGGAACUUGUGUUGAAGUCCCCAGGAUCUCUGCUAGUUCAUUUCUCCCUGACAAAUAACUGUGAAUGCAGCAACUGAUGUUCAGCAUGCUUCAUGGUAGGUGGCCCUCUUUAAACUGGAAAACUCUUGGUAACUAAAUGGAACGUCUUUUGAGUAAUAUAUGAUGAAUACUUGCAAUACUCGUAUCAAGGUCGCCCUGUUUAAGUUUCUCAUCGGAUUAAUGAAAUAAAAGGUAAAUUGUAAAAUCAGGGAUCAAACUGAAAGUAUAACACGGCAGGAAAGAAUUUUUAAGAAGUCUUUCUUUGCUUGCAAGUUGCAAUCGUUAAUUUAUUGAACUUCGUUUCCGGCCAAAUUCUAUUUUCCUUUUUAGUACAUGGCCGAGUUACUCAAACCUGUCACCAAUGCAGGCAAUCAGUAGAUUUUUUGUGCUUGGGUUCUUUGGAGACUGGCUAAUUUCAAAAAAUGUCCCAUCAAAGUUUGAUGCAUAACAGCAAGCUUGAUUAUUAACUUCAGCCAGUUAACACGAGAUCCUAAAGAAUUUGAAAAGAGUGAAGACAAGUGCCAGAGUUGCCCGUGGUCACAUCUCCAAUUAUCUAAGAGAUGCAAACCCCACCCCCACCCCUCACCUAAAAGGAAUAUAUAAUUAUGUUUUUCUGUGUAAUGACGCGCAAAGACAAGAUACUGAAACAAUUAGAACAAGGGAGAACAGGCAGGAAGAGAAGCUAUGGUCAUAAAACAUUUCUGUGAGUAGGGAAAGAUUAGGUAAACCCCCACUAUUUUUUAUUUCCAAACAACAAAUUUCAUUACUGAACAGCAAAAUACAUCCUACACCAAGAAGGAAAAUAUUCUCCAAGAGGGAAUCUUUUUAGCAGGUGCCUGAUUUGUACUUCUAAAAAUAGCAGUGUGUGAAAUGAUCACAUGCUAGUAGCCCAAUAACGGAGAAACACAGACUACU
rnacentral:lncRNA from 1 species